UAAGGAAUAUUGGUCAAUGGACGCAAGUCUGAACCAGCCAUGCCGCGUGCAGGAUGACGGCCCUACGGGUUGUAAACUGCUUUUGUACGGGAAAAAACCUCCGGACGUGUCCGGAGCUGAUGGUACCGUAAGAAUAAGGAUCGGCUAACUCCGUGCCAGCAGCCGCGGUAAUACGGAGGAUCCUAGCGUUAUCCGGAUUCAUUGGGUUUAAAGGGUGCGUAGGCGGGAUAAUAAGUCAGUGGUGAAAGCUUCCGGCUCAACCGGAAAACUGCCAUUGAUACUGUUAACCUUGAGUGCGUUUGAAGUGGGCGGAAUGUGCAGUGUAGCGGUGAAAUGCUUAGAUAUUGCACAGAACACCGAUUGCGAAGGCAGCUCACUAAACCGUAACUGACGCUGAGGC
rnacentral:rRNA from 1 species